rnacentral:lncRNA from 1 species
GGUGAGGGUAUGGGUGAGUUAUCAUUGGCUGACAGGGCAACAAUCGCUAAUAUGUCUCCUGAGUAUGGAGCAACCAUGGGUUUCUGUCCUGUAGAUCAUGUCACUCUGCAAUAUCUCAAACUGACAGGAAGAAGUGAUGAAACUGUAGCAAUGAUUGAGUCCUAUCUGCGAGCUAACAAGAUGUUUGUUGAUUAUAGGAGCCUCAAGUAGAAAGAGUUUAUUCAUCUUAUCUAGAGUUGGACCUCACAGAUGUUGAGCCCUGUGUUUCAGGUCCAAAGAGACCGCACGACCGAGUUCCUCUGAAAGAAAUGAAGGCAGACUGGCAUUCUUGUCUCGACAAUAAAGUUGGAUUCAAGGGCUUUGCCGUGCCAAAAGAUUCACAGGACAAAGUUGUGAAGUUCUCUUUUCAUGGACAACCUGCAGAGCUCAGACAUGGUAGUGUUGUUAUAGCAGCUAUUACGAGCUGCACAAACACCUCCAAUCCCAGUGUCAUGCUGGGUGCUGGUCUUGUUGCAAAGAAAGCUUGUGAAUUGGGUCUUGAGGUUAAGCCAUGGAUAAGUCUUGCCCCAGGAUCUGGAGUUGUUACCAAGUAACUACUUGUAUAGGAAACUCUGGAGAUCUUGAUGAGUCUGUUGCUGCUGCUGUCUCUGAAAAUGAUAUUGUUGCUGCUGCAGUGCUUUCUGGAAAUCGGAACUUUGAGGGCCGAGUGCAUCCCCUAACUCGAGCUAAUUAUCUUGCUUCACCUCCACUUGUUGUAGCAUAUGCUCUUGCAGGCACGGUUGACAUUGAUUUCGAGAAGGAGCCAAUUGGAAUAGGAAAGGAUGGGAAGAGUGUGUACUUCAAGGACAUAUGGCCAUCCACUGAAGAAAUUGCAGAGGUUGUUCAAUCAAGUGUGUUGCCAGACAUGUUUAAGAGCACUUAUGAGGCAAUCACAAAGGGCAAUCCAAUGUGGAACCAACUAUCGGUCCCAGCCACAAAUUUAUACUCAUGGGACCCUAAUUCUACCUACAUUCAUGAGCCCCUACUUCAAAAAUAUGACAAUGACUCCACCUGGACCUCAUGGGUGAAAAAUGCAUACUGCUUACUGAACUUCGGUGACAGCAUUACAACAGACCACAUUUCACCAGCAGGGAGCAUCCACAAGGACAGCCCAGCUGCAAAAUACCUACUUGAGCGUGGUGUGGACCGCAAAGACUUCAAUUCAUAUGGCAGUCGCCGUGGCAAUGAUGAAGUAAUGGCAAGGGGAACCUUUGCUAACAUUCGCCUUGUAAAUAAACUCUUGAAGGGAGAAGUGGGCCCAAAGACAAUUCACAUUCCGACAGGGGAGAAACUUUAUGUGUUUGAUGUGGCAAUGAGAUAUAAGGCUGAUGGACAUGACACCAUAGUUUUGGCUGGAGCAGAAUAUGGGAGUGCUCUCGGGACUGGGCUGCCAAGGGCCCUAUGCUGUUGGGUGUGAAAGCUGUGAUUGCUAAAAGCUUUGAGAGAAUCCACCGUAGCAAUUUAGUUGGCAUGGGUGUUAUCCCACUGUGUUUUAAACCUGGUCAGGAUGCUGACUCACUAGGUCUGACAGGUCAUGAGCGGUAUACAAUUGACCUUCCGAGCAACAUAAAUGAAAUACGACCAGGUCAGGAUGUUACUGUUGUCACAGAUGCUGGGAAAUCUUUCACCUGUACAGUACGUUUUGACACAGGCUAAUCUUCUUCAGUACCUUAGAAGACAACCAGUUGAUCAAUUAAAGUUACAAUUUGAUUGUUAACUCCAUUUCUAGCUUAAUCUCAGACUAACUUCAAUAUGCGGUAGAUUAUUCCAUAAGGAGUUCUUUUACUACACAUACUACGAAGACAUUUUCUGAAAACAACAGCAGCAGAAAAGGCAGCAAACCACGAAAACUCCCCACCUGACCCAAAAAAGGUGGGGUGGUGGGGGAGGGGGCAGGGGGUGGGUUGGCGAGUUACAGAUCGAUUUACCUCUUUAGGCCAACCUCUUUUAACUAAUUGCCAAUGGGAAACCAAGAAUUAUUUUGACAAAUUGGAUAGGUUAGGGUUUUCUGGCUGGGCUCUUGUUUGGGCUGCUUUCCUUUGACAAAGUGUACCCAAACGAUUUCCUGGCAGACCUUGUUUGUCUUUCAUUAAUCUUUUUUUAAUAUGAAUAAGUCAAGGUCUUUUUUGCUUGGAAUGCAAGGUGAGGCUUUAAUCUACCUCCAUCUAACUGUAUUUACCUAUCUUUUUGAAUAAGGUCUCUGGUGCUACCUCCCUCCUUUCAUGGGAGACUUGAGUAUUUACAAGUCAGUGAACAUACUGUUUGCAAUUUACAUGCAAACUAUUGGAGAUUUGGAGUCUUUUUUUUGUGUGGCAAUGCGAAAUUUCUUUAUAGAUUAAGAAUACAACUAUUCUGCAAAUUAAUUAUUUUUUUGUGUUCAGAUGUAUUUUAUUUGGCACUAUAUUUUGGCAUUAAAUUUAUGCAAUAGUUAGCACUUUUUUUCAAGAGCACUAUUAUUAAUUUUUUACAUUGUGCUGAAAACAUCAAAAAUCUUCACAUUAGAAGGAAAUUUAUCAAAUUAACUGAUUAAGUAACAUUUUAAAAUAACCUUUCCAUAGAGAUAAUUUGCUUGUUUCCUUGUUUCAUAAUUUACUCCAUGCUCGUGCUUCUUCACUGGAAUAAUAAAACAAGAUUUAGUUCUAUGUUUGUAGUUUGUUUUAAGUGGCUAAUGCUUUAUUUAUCUUAUUUGGCAGCCCAUGAGCAUGGUUUUACCUGGUGUUGUGGGGUUCAAGUUGUCUGGGAAAUUACGCGAUGGGGUCACAGCAACUGACCUAGUAUUGACUGUAACACAAAUGCUGAGAAAGCAUGGUGUCGUCGGCAAGUUUGUUGAGUUCUACGGUAGAUAUCAUUUCUUACUCAUCGAUUUAUUAGCACUAAUUCAGCACCAUCCUUUUCUGAAUCCUAAAACCUCAUUAUAUAGGUGAGGGUAUGGGUGAGUUAUCAUUGGCUGACAGGGCAACAAUCGCUAAUAUGUCUCCUGAGUAUGGAGCAACCAUGGGUUUCUUUCCUGUAGAUCAUGUCACUCUGCAAUAUCUCAAACUGACAGGAAGAAGUGAUGAAACUGUGAGUAUUUCAAAGUUCUUGGUGGAACCUGGUGUAUUUCUUCUGAUUUACUGCACUGUCAGUUUUUACUCAACGCUUGUGAUAAAGAGGAAAUUGCUUGUCUUUCCAUUUUCACAACUUUUUGGAAAAUAUUCUGGGUGAAAAAAAGAAACAAAGAAGUGCAGAGAAAUUCCUUCAUGUUUUAUGGUCUAUUACAUCCUUGUUAAUCUAGUUUUGUUAUUGUGUGCAUCAAAGAAGUUAAAUAUCUUUAACCAAAUUUUCUAUAUUUUUUGGUGGGAGUUUUCCAUUAUUUUGUAGCAAGUUCUGAAUAUAGAACCAUCUAAGCGAGGCUGGUUUACUAAAUAGAAACCUUUUCUUUCAAUUAAUGUAUAUAGGUAGCAAUGAUUGAGUCCUAUCUGCGAGCUAACAAGAUGUUUGUUGAUUAUAGAGAGGUAAGCCUUUCUUUUUAAGAAAUUAUACAUAUAAGUUUUAAGAGUUGCAUGACUGAUGUGUUUUUUGCGAGUCAGCCUCAAGUAGAAAGAGUUUAUUCAUCUUAUCUAGAGUUGGACCUCACAGAUGUUGAGCCCUGUGUUUCAGGUCCAAAGAGGUAAUCUGCAUGCAUAGUAUUUCCUGCUGUCAAUAGUUCAUCUAUAGUUUCGUUCCUGAUUUGUCUCUGAAGUUUCUUCUACUAAUAUCUAUGACAGACCGCACGACCGAGUUCCUCUGAAAGAAAUGAAGGCAGACUGGCAUUCUUGUCUCGACAAUAAAGUUGGAUUCAAGGUGAUGAGUGUGAACUACAUUGUAGAUUGUUUUCUUCCAACUGCAGCUAGGGUUUCUAUCCAUACCAGAAUCUGUAGUUCUAUACAAAUUGAGUAUACCAAUCAUGGUAUGCUGUACCGGUCAGUAUCGGGCAUACUGUUCCCGUACCGAUGGGUACCGGUAUCGGUACGCCAAUGUUGGUACGUCUGGCGUACCACGUACCAUACCGUACCGACACUCGGUACGCCUAUACUAGUGCGGCGUUGGUACGGGGUUCGGUACUGGUACAGCGAAUCUUGAUACCAAUGAUAAUUUUUAUGCUGGAAGUCUUGUACAUAUAGAUUAAUGCAUUAUGCGGCCUUGACCACUACUUCAUGUAGUCUUUGUUACACAUCGGCUGCUUAUAAUUUCGCUAGGUUUCAUGCUAUCGGCCGAUUUUAGCAUAUAAUCCUAAAUUCCUAAUUGUUGCACCAUAUCUAAUGAUAUUCUGUACUUUUUUAAAUCAAUUUUGUAGAUAUAAACCUGGAACUCAGAUUGAAUUUUAUGCCUUAUCAUAAUUUUAACAUGGUACAUAUUGAAGUCAGAUUGUCGACUCAUAUGCAAUGCUAAGGAACUUGGGUGCAUGUUUACUUGAUUUUAGUUCAGUUGUAAUCCAUGUGGUUUACAUAUCGUAGUCACUGAGCACUUGACUUUGUUAUUGUCAGGGCUUUGCCGUGCCAAAAGAUUCACAGGACAAAGUUGUGAAGUUCUCUUUUCAUGGACAACCUGCAGAGCUCAGACAUGGUAGUGUUGUUAUAGCAGCUAUUACGAGCUGCACAAACACCUCCAAUCCCAGUGUCAUGCUGGGUGCUGGUCUUGUUGCAA